UACGUAGGAGGCGAGCGUUGUCCGGAAUCACUGGGUGUAAAGCGCGUGUAGGCGGCCUGCCAAGUCUGCUGUGAAAGCGGCCUGGCUUAACCGGGCGAGGUCGGUGGAAACUGGCGGGCUGGAGGACGGUAGAGGGGGUGGAAUUCCCGGUGUAGUGGUGAAAUGUGUAGAGAUACGGGCGAGGAACACCGGUGGCGAAGGCGGGUCCCUGGA
rnacentral:rRNA from 1 species